rnacentral:rRNA from 1 species
UACGAAGGGUGCAAGCGUUACUCGGAAUCACUGGGCGUAAAGCGUGCGUAGGCGGUUCGUUAAGUCUGCUGUGAAAGCCCUGGGCUCAACCUGGGAACUGCAGUGGAUACUGGCGGACUAGAGUGUGAUAGAGGAUGGUGGAAUUCCCGGUGUAGCGGUGAAAUGCGUAGAGAUCGGGAGGACACCAGUGGCGAAGGCGGCCAUCUGGAUCAACACUGACGCUGAGGCACGAAAGCGUGG